rnacentral:rRNA from 1 species
AUUGAACGCUGGCGGCAUGCUUUACACAUGCAAGUCGAACGGUAACAGGCCUUCGGGUGCUGACGAGUGGCGAACGGGUGAGUAAUGCAUCGGAACGUACCCAGAGGUGGGGGAUAACGCAGCGAAAGCUGUCCUAAUACCGCAUGUGAUCUGAGGAUGAAAGCGGGGGACCGAGCAGCAAUGUUUGGCCUCGCGCCUUUGGAGCGGCCGAUGUCGGAUUAGCUAGUUGGUGGGGUAAAGGCCUACCAAGGCGACGAUCCGUAGCUGGUCUGAGAGGACGACCAGCCACACUGGGACUGAGACACGGCCCAGACUCCUACGGGAGGCAGCAGUGGGGAAUUUUGGACAAUGGGCGCAAGCCUGAUCCAGCAAUGCCGCGUGCGGGAAGAAGGCCUUCGGGUUGUAAACCGCUUUUGGCAGGAACGAAACGGUGUCCGCUAAUACCGGGCGCUAAUGACGGUACCUGCAGAAUAAGCACCGGCUAACUACGUG